rnacentral:rRNA from 1 species
GAUGAACGCUGGCGGCGUGCUUAACACAUGCAAGUCGAGCGAAAGGACGAGAUGGUUGCUACUCUGAUGUUAGAGGGGGAAGGGAGAGUAAAAUGAGCAUACCUUACCUAUAAGACUGGGACAACUACGGGAAACUAGUGCCAAUAACGGAUCAUAUCUGCAACCGCAUGGUUCAAAAGCGUAAGACGGUUUGGCUGUAACUUAGAGAUGUAUCCGCGUUGGAUUAGUUAGUUGGUAGGGUAACGGCUUACCAAGGCAACAAUGCAUAGCCGACCUGAGAGGGUGAUGGGCGCCACUGGGACUGAGACACGGUCCAGACACCGACGGGAGGCAGCGGUAGCGACGCUAGCGAGAUGGGCGGAAGCCUGACGGAGCAGCGCAGCGUGGGUGAUGAAGCGCUUCGGAUCGGAAAACUCUGUUAUUGGGGAAGAACGUAUGUAGCAGGAGCUAUGCUCGUCUUGACGGUACCUAAACAAGAAGCAACGGCUAACUACGUG